CCUUUAAAAAAAAUAUCCCUGUCGUAACAAAGCAUGGGAAACAAAAAGGUAGAAGCUGCUUUUCAGCUCCAGUGCCUUAAUGUCACCAUUUGUCACGCAGCUUUCCCUUAGAGCUUCCAGGACUGGGCUUAACUCUCUCACUCCCCUCCCUUCUGCAUGCACACGCUCCUUGCUGGAAUGGUUGCAGAUUUCAAAUGUGCCUGGCCUGACAAUGGUGGUGCUGCGCAUUGUUAUGCAACUCGCUGUCUGGGAGGGCAGCUUGUAGCUCCUUUAUUCUGCAAGUGCCAGGUGCUUGUUUAGUCAAUGUCACAGCUUGCUACUGUAUUUCAAUCCAGAGCAUGACUACUGUGCUCCUCUGCUGGAGAUAGCUGCUGCCGAGUUAUGCCAUACCCAUGAUGACGCCUUGGAAUUAUCUGCUAGUGAUGCCUGCUUAGGUGUGAACCGUACCUGGUACUGGAAACUCCAUACAUAGGGAUUAGAUUACUCAUAUCAAGCACACAGCUUAAUAGCAAGCACUACUGGAAGUAAAACUAUGUUACUGGGAGCAGGAGACACCAAAAUUUACAAUCUCAUUAAAUGGGAAAAUCCAGGAAUGGAAUUCCAUCACGUCAAUGACAAAAACCUCUGAAAAAAAAAAAGAAAAGAAAAAAAAAAAAAAAAAAAAAAGAAAGCCAAUCUUAAAAAGUAAGAGCUUCGGGCUGUGGACGGCGUAGUUCGAAAAAAAAAAAAAGAAAGAAAACAAAGUGGAUUUAAGCUGACAAGUAUCUUGGAAACGCUGUUCUCGUGUUGUGGAUCAAUACUGAAAGUUAUCUUUUUCACAUCGCUUAAAUUAUUUGGAUUAAUGACAGACUGAGCAUUUGUGAAUUUUGCUGCUGUAUGCUGCUCGUUAUUAGGGGGAAGAAGAGAGGGCUAUAUAUAUGUAUAUGCACAUGUGUGAUACAGCUCUGCUUGAAGAUACAAGCUUGCUUUCCCAUUGUGUUGAGGACACAGAAGCAUGCCUGAUGUCACUGUGCUCCUGAUGCAGAGUAGGACAGUCUUCGGAGGAUUGCUGAAGACUUUUCUGGGAAACAUGGUCAUAUCUGCUAUCACAGCAGCAGCAGCAGAAGUGAAAAGGCAAGAGGAUAAAGAAGAGAAAGAGGAAUCCAUUUUAGCCAUGUUGGGAAUUAUAGGGACUGUACUGAAUCUCUUUGUCAUUGUAUUUGUGUACAUCUAUACCACUCUCUGACAGUCUUAUCUUAAGCCGAGUGCUUAACCAGUGAGGGUGGUUCCUCAGUGACUAUAUUAUAAAUGGCAGGGCAUCUGAAGGUACAGCGAGGGGACUCAGACCAUCCAAUACAUUCCAGUGCUAAGUGCCUAGGAGGACCAUUGGCAAAGCAAAUUUGUAAAUUCAGAUAGGAAUUUUAAGAUCAAGAUGAGCAGAAUUCAUUGAAGUUCAGGAGGUGCAACUGUGCACUUGUCUUAAUUCCCAAGAGUACUGUGAUACUGCCAUAAUAUCUAAGAUACAGGAAAUAAUAUUUCUAUAGCCGUGUUUAUUUUAUGGCAUCUCAUCCACUAAACCAUGAGGAUGGUGAAAAAAACAAACAAAAAAAAAUGUGAACACCACUCAUCCUAUACUCCCUGUAAGACUUGCCUACCAUAUGCUUCCAUAUAGGUGCAUUCAUGGACAAAUGACAUGUCUCAAAACAUACUCUCCAAAACGUAUUUUAUAAAGUAAAACCUGUCACCUUAAGCUGCUUUACAAAAAAAAUGAUUUCCAAAGCAUUCUAUAAUAAAAAAAUGUUUUAAUGAACUUAUUCGUACAUUGGUAAGGAAACAAAAGGAGUGGAUAGGGAAGAUGUUUAAAUUAAUACAUCUUUUAAAUGACUGGAUCAUGCUGAACACUUCACUGUAUGGCGUUUUAGAACUAGCCUUGAAAAAAUAUGUUUUACACCUAGGAUAUUGCAAUACUUUGUGCUACUGAUAGAAGUAAAACAGAAAGUAAUAAGUCC